GGUUAUUUCCCUCGGACGACGAUGCAUCUCUUCGUUGAGCGAUCGAGACAGCGCGACGGAGAUCGUCCGACGAGAGGGCGAUUCCAUCGCCUCAAAUUUCCACUAAUUCGAUCUCUUUCAAGAAACAAGAAAGAAGAACGUCGAUUGCCCUUGUUCGAUCUUAGGAUCCAUCUUUCUCCUUUCGAAGCUCGGUUGUGACCACCAAAUCCCUCGCGGCGCCCGUCAAAUCAGCCAUCGACAAGAUCCAGCUCCGCGCCGCCUUCUUGAGGGUGCGAGGGCUGGUGAAGCAACCCAUCGAUUCUUUUCAUUACUUCGUCAACCAUGAAAUCAAGAACAUGAAAGCCAUCGAUCUCCUCGUCUGCCGUCAUGAGCCCAGCUUCUAUCACAUCCAAACACACGACGUUUGCAAGCAGUGUGGAGAUUGUUCGCCGGCUGCAGACAACCUUCUGUCUAAUGUUGCAGCUGGUAUCCAAUAAAUAGCUGUCACAACGCCGGGAAACAUGAGCUAUUGAUCAAAUCAAGAGAAUCUCGAGUAUGUUACAAGAAAUAAAAAAUGAGGCAAAUAACUUCUCUUGAAUUGUGCCUCGCAACUCAU